rnacentral:sRNA from 1 species
UGUUUGUAUUUUUAGUAGAGAUGGAGUUUCACCAUGUUGGCCAGGCUGGUCUUGAACUCCUGACCUCAAGUGAUCCGCCCGCCUCAGCCUCCCGAAGUGCUGGGAUUACAGGGGUGAACCAUCAUGCCUGGCCCUGAUCACUUGACUUUUUAAUUUUUAAAAAUAAAUAAAACCUUAUUUUCUGGAAAAGCCCUGUCCCGUUGGCACUUGUUCUAUUUUCUUCUGUGUUCCCUACAGCAGGGGACCUCCUCGCCCACGACCUGCCCCAGCAGUUGGAGAGGCUGAAGAUAAAGAAAAUCAGCAAGCCACCAGUGGUCCAAACCAGCAGUCUGUUCGCCGUGGAUACCGGCGUCCCUACAAUUACCGGCGUCGCCCGCGUCCUCCUAACGCUCCUUCACAAGAUGGCAAAGAGGCCAAGGCAGGUGAAGCACCAACUGAGAACCCUGCUCCACCCACCCAGCAGAGCAGUGCUGAGUAACACCAGGCUCCCCAGGCACCUUCACCAUCGGCAG